rnacentral:rRNA from 1 species
AGUGAACGCUGGCGGUAGGCCUAACACAUGCAAGUCGAACGGCAGCACAGUAAGAGCUUGCUCUUACGGGUGGCGAGUGGCGGACGGGUGAGGAAUACAUCGGAAUCUACUUUUUCGUGGGGGAUAACGUAGGGAAACUUACGCUAAUACCGCAUACGACCUACGGGUGAAAGCAGGGGAUCUUCGGACCUUGCGCGAUUGAAUGAGCCGAUGUCGGAUUAGCUAGUUGGCGGGGUAAAGGCCCACCAAGGCGACGAUCCGUAGCUGGUCUGAGAGGAUGAUCAGCCACCCUGGAACUGAGACACGGUCCAGACUCCUACGGGAGGCAGAAGUGGGGAAUAUUGGACAAUGGGCGCAAGCCUGAUCCAGCCAUACCGCGUGGGUGAAGAAGGCCUUCGGGUUGUAAAGCCCUUUUGUUGGGAAAGAAAAGCAGCAGGUUAAUACCCCGCUGUUCUGACGGGACCCAAAGAAUAAGCACCGGCUAACUUCGU